rnacentral:rRNA from 1 species
UACGUAGGUGGCAAGCGUUGUCCGGAUUUAUUGGGUUUAAAGGGUGCGUAGGUGGCCCUGUAAGUCAGUGGUGAAAUAUCUCAGCUUAACUGAGAGGGUGCCAUUGAUACUGCAGGGCUUGAGUACAGAUGAGGUAGGCGGAAUUGACGGUGUAGCGGUGAAAUGCGUAGAUAUCUGGAGGAACACCGGUGGCGAAGGCGGCAUCCUGGACCGGUAUUGACGCUGAGGAGCGAAAGCCAGGGGAGCAAACGGG